rnacentral:rRNA from 1 species
GAUGAACGCUAGCGGCAGGCUUAACACAUGCAAGUCGAGGGGCAGCGCGAUGUAGCAAUACAUUGGCGGCGACCGGCGCACGGGUGCGUAACACGUAUGCUACCUUCCUCUUACUGGGGCAUAGCCCGGAGAAAUCCGGAUUAAUACCCCAUAAUACCUUGAAGGGCAUUCUUCGGGUUGAAAGUCACAACGGUAAGAGAUGGGCAUGCGCACGAUUAGCAGUUGGUGAGGUA